GGGUAAACCAUAAACAAUGUCGAGGCCGAGGCGUCGUCGGGUCCAUCAAUGUGUCAGCGGUCCUUCAAUUAAAUAGUUUCGUUGAAAAGGCCUACGUGACACUGGCCAUGAGUGUUUGCGGAACACGUGCGUGGUGGGCCUAAGAAAAGACCAAGGGAUGCUAGAACAGUCAGUGUCAGUGGAGAAGCCAGAGAGUGUGAAUUGAGAAGCCAGAGAGUGUGGAUUGAGAAGUCAGGGAGAUAGUGUUGCUAGUGCUGUCGAGAGAGAGUGGUCCGCGUGAGAGAGAGCGUUGGAUCCGUGGUGAUGAGAGUUGCAAAUUAACUAAUUU